CGUAGCACAGUUGGAUAAUGCAUCAGACUCCGACUCUGAAGAUCAAGGGUUCGAAUCCCUUCG
rnacentral:tRNA from 1 species